rnacentral:lncRNA from 1 species
CCCCGUUAGGUGUUCGCUGCGAACACCCUGUUUAUCGAUCCUUUUCCAUAGGUUUAUAUGGCAUAUCAAUCGAUAUAUCGCAAAGCACGCCACGCCACUGAUGUUCCGUAAAACUUGUGAUGGGGGGGCGGAGGAGAGGAGAGGGAACAAACUUGAGAGAGGCUCUUUUGAGGUGCCUGUUUUUGUCCGAGACUGAAUUUCAAAGGGAUGUUAUCGCCGUCUAUCCGUCUCUACAGCAACAGAUUUGUUUAUUUCUCCAUCCGUUGGUCACCACGCAAAUGCGAUGAGCUUGCACUUAUGAUAAAUUACCAAAACGAUACUAUAAGUACUUCGAAAUACUAUGUAUAAAAUAAAUUGGUACCUAAAAUUUAACUUGACCAGGAAGCGUUCUUUUUUUCAGAAAGUUCAUUGUUUUUGAAAGCAGUUAUUUAUCGUUCGGAGAAGUGCAGUCGUUGUCUAAAAUCAACUAGUGGAGGAAAAUGUCGACUGAAGACUCUAUUAGCACCGUCUCCAGUCCUGAGGACACAGAGGAUGAGUUGGAGAAACUAUCACCCAAGGAGGAGGCACUUGAAACAGUUACAGAGGAAGACUCAAUCGAUCAAUUAAUAAACAAAAUCAAGUCGUUGACGACGCUGAUCGACCUGGCGCACGAGGACUGGAGCCUGCGAACGGACGAGGCGAUGCAGGAGUUCCUGACGAGCCGCGACGAGUCGGUGCUCGUGCUCUUCUACGACGAGGACAAGCUUGUUGCCGUCUGCGGCUUUCCCUCCUUCGAGCUGCCCGACCUCAUGUACUUCGUCAAGUGCUCCAAUGCUGACGUCACCCUGGACAACUUCCACCGGCUCAUCGCCUUCGGCUCCAUCAAGAACCUCCCGAGGCCGCUCUCCUCACCCUCCUCGAGCAAAUAUACGCCCCCGUCUACUUCAACAUCAAGGAUUGGCCUGAUAGUAUCCUUUUUCUUAUUCUCUUUUUCUUUCCUCUCUUUCUUUUCCUUCUUCUUCUUCCUCUUUGUAUUUCCUUCUUCUUCUUCCUCUUUAUAUUUUCCUACUUCUUCUUCCUCUUUGUAUUUUCAUUCUUCUUCUUCUUCUUCUUCUUUUCAUUACUCCUCUAAUUCUUUCCUCAUAUUCUUUGACCUCUCCUUCUUUUCUUUAUUAUUC